UUAUAUUAUGCUUUUAUUUGUCAUAUUCAUAGUUAGUUACAAGUAAAAAUUAUUGAAAUCCAUUGUAGUUAAUACAAAAUAAAAAUAUAGCUGCACGAGUUAUGCCAUGAUUUUCCUUAGAAACAGUAUCUUCUACAUGAUACCAUGCACUUAAGAGCUUAACUCUUAAUAAUACUUGCCUACACUAAGCUCUAACUAACUAACUUCCAGUGUGAUUUACUGGUUGCAGAUAUUAUCCCUGUGGAUUAAUACCUGUUAAUUAUUUCAUAAUGGUACUUCUGCUGUAGCUUUUAUUUCCCCUGUAAUUUGUGAUUCUAAAACACAAAAGGAAGUAAUCUUUUAGUGCAACGUUAAGUAUCAGUAGAAUUUUUAUGUAUAUAAAAAAAUAAAAAUAACCCACUGCAUAAACAACCAUGGAUGUAAGGGAACUGUUGUGGGUAUUGUGCUUCCCUUUCCUCCCUUGCCCCUUAUCUUUAAGUGACAGGAAUGAACAUUCAUAGUGAACACACUACCUUGUUAACCUCUCAUUUUCAAUCCGUUUGGAAAAAUUACAGACUAGUAAUUUUGAGAGCAGGUGGGUGACUUUGAUCAAAGUUACUAGCAGAGAACCAAAUCCUAUGGCUUUGCAGGCUCAUACUUACGUGAACUCAUCCCUGCCAUGAAGUUCAUCCCAUAACACAUUGUUCCCUUUGGACAUGCCUGAAAGGGUAUUUCACCUUCUUGUAGAAAUUGUCCUUACAUCCCUGUAGUUAUCUAACUUUCCUGUGUAGAUAUAGCUCUAUAUAUGAAAUAAUCUGUAAAAAGAUAAAUUAUGCUAUUUUCAAAAUACUCUGAGAUACAAAGUUGUGCAGGUGCAAAGUUUGAUAGUAUAUUGCUAUAAAGACUGCAAAUUAAUUAGUGUUAUCUGAGUAUAUAUACUUUAAGCUGGGAG